GGUUGUGGCUCAGUGGUAGAGUGCUGGCCUAGCAUGUGAGAGACCCUGGGUUUGAUCCUCAGCACCA
rnacentral:tRNA from 1 species